GAUGAACGCUAGCGGCAGGCCUAAUACAUGCAAGCCGAACGGCAAGUCUGAUAGCAAUAUUGGACCUAGAGUGGCGUAAGGGUGCGUAACACGUAUGCAAUCUGCCCACAACAGGAGGAUAGCUCCCCGAAAGGGGAAUUAACCCUCCAUAGCACCAUGCAAGGGCAUCUGAGUAUGGUUAAACCAAAAGGGGUUGUGGAUGAGCAUGCGGUUGAUUAGCUAGUUGGUAAGGUAACGGCUUACCAAGGCGAUGAUCAAUAGGGGAACUGAGAGGUUUAUCCCCCACACUGGCACUGAGAUACGGGCCAGACUCCUACGGGAGGCAGCAGUAGGGAAUAUUGGACAAUGGGCGAGAGCCUGAUCCAGCCAUGCCGCGUGCAGGAAGAAGGCCUUCUGGGUUGUAAACUGCUUUUGCCAGGGGAUAAAAAGCCCAUGCGUGGGAAAUUGAAGGUACCUGGUGAAUAAGCCACGGCUAACUACGUGCCAGCAGCCGCGGUAAUACGUAGGUGGCAAGCGUUGUCCGGAUUUAUUGGGUUUAAAGGGUGCGUAGGCGGCCCUGUAAGUCAGUGGUAAAUACGGCAGCUCAACUGUCGAGGUGCCAUUGAUACUGCAG
rnacentral:rRNA from 1 species